CUUUUACAAUGAAGAGUUUGAUCCUGGCUCAGGAUGAACGCUAGCUACAGGCUUAACACAUGCAAGUCGAGGGGCAGCAUUUUAGUUUGCUUGCAAACUAAAGAUGGCGACCGGCGCACGGGUGAGUAACACGUAUCCAACCUGCCGAUAACUCGGGGAUAGCCUUUCGAAAGAAAGAUUAAUAUCCGAUAGUAUAUUAAAACCGCAUGGUUUUACUAUUAAAGAAUUUCGGUUAUCGAUGGGGAUGCGUUCCAUUAGUUUGUUGGCGGGGUAACGGCCCACCAAGACUACGAUGGAUAGGGGUUCUGAGAGGAAGGUCCCCCACAUUGGAACUGAGACACGGUCCAAACUCCUACGGGAGGCAGCAGUGAGGAAUAUUGGUCAAUGGACGAGAGUCUGAACCAGCCAAGUAGCGUGAAGGAUGACUGCCCUAUGGGUUGUAAACUUCUUUUAUAUGGGAAUAAAGUAUUCCACGUGUGGGAUUUUGUAUGUACCAUAUGAAUAAGGAUCGGCUAACUCCGUGCCAGCAGCCGCGGUAAUACGGAGGAUCCGAGCGUUAUCCGGAUUUAUUGGGUUUAAAGGGAGCGUAGGUGGAUUGUUAAGUCAGUUGUGAAAGUUUGCGGCUCAACCGUAAAAUUGCAGUUGAAACUGGCAGUCUUGAGUACAGUAGAGGUGGGCGGAAUUCGUGGUGUAGCGGUGAAAUGCUUAGAUAUCACGAAGAACUCCGAUUGCGAAGGCAGCUCACUAGACUGCAACUGACACUGAUGCUCGAAAGUGUGGGUAUCAAACAGGAUUAGAUACCCUGGUAGUCCACACAGUAAACGAUGAAUACUCGCUGUUUGCGAUAUACAGUAAGCGGCCAAGCGAAAGCAUUAAGUAUUCCACCUGGGGAGUACGCCGGCAACGGUGAAACUCAAAGGAAUUGACGGGGGCCCGCACAAGCGGAGGAACAUGUGGUUUAAUUCGAUGAUACGCGAGGAACCUUACCCGGGCUUAAAUUGCAAAUGAAUAAUCUGGAAACAGGUUAGCCGCAAGGCAUUUGUGAAGGUGCUGCAUGGUUGUCGUCAGCUCGUGCCGUGAGGUGUCGGCUUAA
rnacentral:rRNA from 1 species